rnacentral:tRNA from 1 species
GUGUCAACAAGUUUGUUAAACCAAUUGUUUAAACCAAUUGUGUUGUUUAAAAUAGCGAAAUUGGCGGA